rnacentral:rRNA from 1 species
GAGUUUGAUCAUGGCUCAGGACGAACGCUGGCGGCGUGCUUAACACAUGCAAGUCGAGCGGAAAGGCCACUUCGGUGGUACUCGAGCGGCGAACGGGUGAGUAACACGUGAGUAAUCUGCCCCCCACUUUGGGAUAGCCACCGGAAACGGUGAUUAAUACCGGAUAUGACGUGCCCUCGCAUGGGGGUGUGUGGAAAGUUUUUCGGUGGGGGAUGUGCUCGCGGCCUAUCAGCUUGAUGGUGGGGUAAUGGCCUACCAUGGCUUCGACGGGUAGCCGGCCUGAGAGGGUGACCGGCCACACUGGGACUGAGACACGGCCCAGACUCCUACGGGAGGCAGCAGUGGGGAAUAUUGGACAAUGGGCGGAAGCCUGAUCCAGCAACGCCGCGUGAGGGAUGACGGCCUUCGGGUUGUAAACCUCUUUCAGUACCGACGAAGCGAAAGUGACG